GACGAACGCUGGCGGCGUGCUUAACACAUGCAAGUCGAACGGAAAGGCCCUGCUUUUGUGGGGUGCUCGAGUGGCGAACGGGUGAGUAACACGUGAGUAACCUGCCCCUGACUUUGGGAUAACUUCAGGAAACUGGGGCUAAUACCGGAUAGGAGCUCCUGCUGCAUGGUGGGGGUUGGAAAGUUUCGGCGGUUGGGGAUGGACUCGCGGCUUAUCAGCUUGUUGGUGGGGUAGUGGCUUACCAAGGCUUUGACGGGUAGCCGGCCUGAGAGGGUUACCGGCCACAUUGGGACUGAGAUACGGCCCAGACUCCUACGGGAGGCAGCAGUGGGGAAUAUUGCACAAUGGGCGGAAGCCUGAUGCAGCAACGCCGCGUGCGGGAUGACGGCCUUCGGGUUGUAAACCGCUUUCGCCUGUGACGAAGCGUGAGUGACGGUAAUGGGUAAAGAAGCACCGGCUAACUACGUG
rnacentral:rRNA from 1 species